AGAUGAUUGUGCAGUGGCACACUGUCUUACAGAAGACUCUCCAAGCUCCGAGCAGGACUUGGACAGGUUGGGGGGCAAGUCCCCACCCCCUCCUCCCCCGCCCCCGAGACGGAGCUACCUGCCAGGAUCCGGGCUCACCACCACCAGGACUGGCGACGUGGUCUACACCAGCAGGAAGGAGAACACCACUAAGGCAAGCAGUGAAGAUGCCGGACCAAGCCUGCAGGCUAGAGCCACAAAGUGCCCAGCAGAGGAGCCUGCUUCAGCGUGGACUCCAUCCCCACCUCCAGUCACUACCUGCUCCUCAAAGGACGAGGAGGAGGAAGAAGAAGGAGACAAAAUCAUGGCAGAACUCCAGGCAUUCCAGAAGUGUUCCUUUAUGGAUGUAAAUUCAAACAGUCAUGCUGAGCAGUCCCGGGCUGACAGUCACGCUAAAGACACUAGGCCGGGGGCCACAGUCUCACCCAAGGAGAAGAAG